rnacentral:rRNA from 1 species
UGCAGAGGUCCCAAGCGUUGUUCGGAUUCAUUGGGCGUAAAGGGUGCGUAGGCGGCGCGGUAAGUCGGGUGUGAAAUCUCGGAGCUUAACUCCGAAACUGCAUUCGAUACUGCCGUGCUUGAGGACUGGAGAGGAGACUGGAAUUUACGGUGUAGCGGUGAAAUGCGUAGAUAUCGUAAGGAAGACCAGUGGCGAAGGCGGGUCUCUGGACAGUUCCUGACACUGAAAAGCGAAAGCCAGGGGAGCAAACGGG